GUUACAAUGGCAGGUACAGAGGGAUGCUACCGGGCGACCGGAUGCGGAUCUCGAAAGCCUGUCCCAGUUCGGACUGGAGUCUGCAACCCGACUCCACGAAGUUGGAUUCGCUAGUAAUCGCGCAUCAGCCAUGGCGCGGUGAAUACGUUCCGGGGCCUUGUACACACCGCCCGUCAAGCCAUGGGAGCCGGGGGCGCCUGAAGUCCGGGACCGCGAGGACCGGCCUAGGGCGAAACUGGUAACUGGGGCUAAGUCGUAACAAGGUAAC
rnacentral:rRNA from 1 species